UCCCACCAGAAAAGAGAAAAAGACUGUGGGAGACAGUGCUGCCUGUAAUGGUGUCAACUGAGUAGUUGGAUACCUGUGUGCCACUGGGACGUCAUGAAGAUUUGGGACAUCGUGUCAUUUUGUCAUUUUGUGCCAUUUAGUCUAGAAGGGCUCAAGCUGCAAUGUCUCACUUCCUGCCUGAGGAUUCCUCAGCACAGAGAACUCAUGCACUCCCUUCUCCUCAUGCCCCAUAGCCACUGGAAUUUUCCUUGGAACUUUUGGUCUCUCCUGUUAAGGAAUGAGUUGUCCACUAGCCUGGGAGCUGCUGCCAUCCCCCAUGCAUGCUCACCCCAGCAUAGAAGAGCACAGUGCACUGUUGGGAUUUGGAGGAGAGGGUGGAAAAUAGUUUCCAUGGAGGAAUGUGAGCACCCUUCUCUGUCAUCUUGGCCCUGCCAGAACCACAGGAGCAGAAAUGGAUCCCAUUCUGUUUUAAUUUUUCUCUAGAGCUGUUCUUUCUUAUGUAGUAGCCUCUAACCACAUGUGGCCAUUUAAUGUAACUUACUUAGAGGGAAAUGAAGACAAUUAAACUUAAGUUGGAGUCAAAUGUAGUUCCUCUACCCCUGGAAUCCUCUUUUCACACACUCAUUAGCUACACACAGCCAUAGGUAUUGUGACAGUGCUUCUUUCCAUUAUCACUGUCUUAAGCACAUUC
rnacentral:lncRNA from 1 species